rnacentral:misc_RNA from 1 species
CUGAAUGUUACCAAACAUAAACCCUUGUGAACCUUCUGUAUUUCUGCCUUGGCAGGUAAUCCCAGGGCGGGAUUCUAGGCCUCUUCGGGGGCACCUGCCAGCGGUAGAACAUUUUCAUACUCUGAAUUACAGUGGACUUCUGAGUGUCUUCCAAAAAUAAAUUA